rnacentral:misc_RNA from 1 species
AACUGAUACUACCUGCGGGAACCUGCGGAGGGAUCAUUAUCGAAACCUUCAAACUUGGGUAUGCUUGGCCUGGUCUUUUGGCCGUAAGAGCCGGCUCCCCAAUCAUCAUCCCUCCUUCACACCUGUUCACCUUCAGAGGGGAAAAAGGGGGGGUUUGUUUGUCUUGCCCCCUCGAGGGCUCGCUUUCCCCCACCUUUCACCCCCUUUUUUUUCCACCAAAAAGCACUUUACUGUCACAGA